rnacentral:lncRNA from 11 species
GCAGGCAUCUGGCUCUCGGCAGCAGCACUACCUUCCAACCAUGAAAAAAGUGCUUGUCAAUGUUGACUGAAGAGGCGAGCCGCAGAGCAACGGGCUACCCCCAGCCCCCAUUUCUGGCCGUAUCUCCUCUGUCCUGGCCCCCAACAUGCCCAUUUUUCAUAUCUCUGCCUGAAAACGCCUCACUGUCAAAAGGAGACCACCCGCUCGCAAAUUGACCCGGUUUUCGGGGGCAGAUCAGCUGAUUGUCAACCUGUCAAAAACUGUCAAAACGGAGUUCCCUUGCAUUGCGGAGCGAUUUUCUCUACAGGGACAGGCUUGCUGAAGUUCGGACUACAUGUUGGGGCUACCCAGAGCCCCUGCCCCCAUCCAUGAACUACCCCCCCCCCCCGCUGACCUUUUGACCCAGUGAGGUUGCUUCACCCAGACAGCCACAGAUUCGACUCCUGUGGACUUUUAUUUUAUGAAUUCCACACCAUAAAAGGCUUGGGAAACGAAGGGAAAAUAUUGUUCCUAUGUGUGAAUUGUGUACCCUGCAUGCUCCCUUUUUCCCUUAUCCCUGUGAAAAAUGUCUUAUAUUAAAGAAUGACCGAGACCUGACCUAGGGAUUAAAUGGACAAAUGGCAACACCCCAGAGGAAGAUAAUUCCUCACACCAGGAAAUUGUCACAUUCCCCUUGCAUAGACAAUAGAUUAGGUUUUUUUCCCCAUUAAGACAUCGGAGCAGGGCCAUCUUUUGGGAAAUCAGCCGUCUGGAUUCCAGGACCAUUUAACAACAGGGACAAUCAAGACACUAUCACUUCGGCUGUCAACACGGACAUGACACCUUUCAAAAACAAAUGCAGCCCAUCUGGCUCACCACGGUCUGGCAGAGCCUGCCAGACAAAAAAUGUAUAUUUACACCCCAAGAAGCAGUCUAGAAACCCCUCCUGGACAUUUACUCAAUGACUCAAUCAUAAUUCCUCAUUAAUCCCCAGCAAGUCCAUUGUUCCUAGAUAAGCCCGCCUCCUCAUCCCUGAUUGGUGGGGGACCCUGAGGCAUAAGGAGCCCUCUGAUUGGACGAGGGUUCCCGCCACCAUUUUAAGGACCAAUUGGCGCAUAGGAGGGCGGGGAAAGGUGUAGCGCGAAAUUCAAUCCGCGCCUCCCAUAUUUUUGUUAUAAAAAUGGUUGAUCUGUAAAUGUAUGUCAUGACUUCUUGACGAACGAUCGCAGACUGUCAUCUUAUUCAGCUGAAUAAAAACAACUCAGUAUUCUUUCUUCACGUCUGGAUGGUGAGAAUUUCUGGCUAACCCUUGAUUCAUAGCGGCUCCCCCCCCCCCCCUCUUGCCAGGAUCUUCGGACCUGCAGGGCAAGAAAGGAGCAAGGAUUUCCCCCUAAAAGGAAAUCCCUAAUCGAAUUCUAGCUCGAUAACAGAGAGGUCCAGUAGUCCUGUCCUACUGCUUCCCCGCUUCCCAAGGUAAAGCUCUAGGAGCUUUGCCCAAAGAUGAUGGAUUGACACGGGGCUGGCAAUAAACUGAGACUUUCAAUGUUACUGUUAAAUGCCCAGAUGUUCUAAGUGGUUUGAAACCACAUCUGUGGUUUCAAACAAAAGUGCUCAAAACAGUUCAACUGAAUUCAUUUCAGCCACAAAUUAGAAACCAGAAGCAUUAUGGAAAGUGGUUUCCCCAGUACUUUCAAUAAAUGUGGGUAUCAGUGUGAACAAUGGAAACUACAGAACGCUGAUUUGUAUUCGCCUAUGAGAUAAAAGGGGGAGAGGGAUUAUUCUUCACAGAAGUGGCACUAGCAAUGAAAUUUCCAGAGGGCUGGCCAUGUUAGAAUGCAUCCAAACUGAU